rnacentral:rRNA from 1 species
AACGUAGGGUGCGAGCGUUGUCCGGAAUUACUGGGCGUAAAGAGCUCGUAGGUGGUUUGUCGCGUUGUUCGUGAAAACUCACAGCUCAACUGUGGGCGUGCGGGCGAUACGGGCAGACUAGAGUACUGCAGGGGAGACUGGAAUUCCUGGUGUAGCGGUGAAAUGCGCAGAUAUCAGGAGGAACACCGGUGGCGAAGGCGGGUCUCUGGGCCGAUACUGACGCUGAGGAGCGAAAGCGUGGGUAGCAAACAGG